GGAGGGUACGCGAAUGGUUAGCAACCGCAUUCGAAAUGCGGCGCCCCGCAAGGGGUUGAGGGUUCGAAUCCCUUGCCCUCCG
rnacentral:tRNA from 2 species